GACGGCGCGUACGUGUCGGGUGUGCAGGAGCUCAGGAGGCGUUUCUUGCAAGAAAGUGGAUACGACCCGGCGUCGCGACCCACGAACGGCAGCGCCGAGCCGACAGGCGUGACCGUGGUCAUCCCGCUGUCGGAAGUCACCCACUUCACACUCGUGGGAGACUGGUUCGUCGUCGCUCUAUACUUCUGCGAGUUCUGGAAGGAUCCUCGCUUCUCUUGGAACCCGAAGGAUUACGGCGGAGUCCAUCGUUUUUACGGAACCACGAAGCAGAUAUGGUGGCCGCGAAUCGACGUCGU